rnacentral:tRNA from 1 species
GGAGCAUAGCUCAAUGGUAUAGCACAUGCUUUUCAUGCAUGAGGCCCUGGGUUCAAUCUUAGCACCA